CUACGGGACGCACCAGUGAGGAACAUUGCACAAUGGGGGGAACCCUGAUGCAGCAACGCCGCGUGGAGGAUGACGCAUUUCGGUGUGUAAACUCCUUUUAUAUGUCAAGAAAAUGACGGUAGCAUAUGAAUAAGCACCGGCUAACUCCGUGCCAGCAGCCGCGGUAAUACGGAGGGUGCAAGCGUUACUCGGAAUCACUGGGCGUAAAGGACGCGUAGGCGGGUUGGCAAGUCAGGUGUGAAAUCCUACAGCUUAACUGUAGAACUGCACUUGAAACUUCUAAUCUAGAGUAUGGGAGGGGGAGAUGGAAUUAGUGGUGUAGGGGUAAAAUCCGUAGAUAUCAGUAGGAAUACCUAAAGCGAAGGCGAUCUCCUGGAACAUUACUGACGCUAAGGCGUGAAAGCGUGGGGAGCAAACAGGAUUAGAUACCCCGGUAGUC
rnacentral:rRNA from 1 species